rnacentral:rRNA from 1 species
GACUGCCAGGGAUAACCUGGAGGAAGGUGGGGAUGACGUCAAAUCAUCAUGCCCCUUAUGCUUAGGGCUACACGCGUGCUACAAUGGGUAGUACAGAGGGUUGCCAAGCCGUAAGGUGGAGCUAAUCCCUUAAAGCUACUCUCAGUUCGGAUUGUAGGCUGAAACUCGCCUACAUGAAGCUGGAGUUACUAGUAAUCGCAG